GCAACGGAUAUCUCGGCUCUCGCAUCGAUGAAGAACGUAGCGAAAUGCGAUACCUGGUGUGAAUUGCAGAAUCCCGCGAACCAUCGAGUCUUUGAACGCAAGUUGCGCCCGAGGCCAUUCGGUCGAGGGCACGCCUGCCUGGGCGUCACGCAAAACACGCUC
rnacentral:rRNA from 1 species